rnacentral:rRNA from 1 species
GACGAACGCUGGCGGCGUGCUUCAUACAUGCAAGUCGAACGAGAAUCGGUAGCUUGCUAUCGAGGAAAGUGGCGGACGGGUGAGUAAUAUGUAGAGAAUCUGCCCUAGAGUGGGGGACAACAGUUGGAAACGACUGCUAAUACCCCAUAUGAGCGUACCUGCAAUGGUAUUCUUGAAAACUCCGGUGCUCUAGGAUGAGUCUGCAUCUGAUUAGCUAGUUGGGGGUGUAAUGGACCACCAAGGCGACGAUCAGUAGCUGGUUUGAGAGGAUGAUCAGCCACAAUGGGACUGAGACACGGCCCAU